rnacentral:tRNA from 1 species
GCCCUAGUAGCUUAAACCUCAAAGCAUUGGUCUUGUAAACCAAAAAUGAUAUCCACUUCCUAGGACAA